rnacentral:rRNA from 1 species
AUGAACGCUGGCGGCGUGCCUAAUACAUGCAAGUCGAGCGAACAGACGAGGAGCUUGCUCCUCUGACGUUAGCGGCGGACGGGUGAGUAACACGUGGAUAACCUACCUAUAAGACUGGGAUAACUUCGGGAAACCGGAGCUAAUACCGGAUAAUAUAUUGAACCGCAUGGUUCAAUAGUGAAAGACGGUUUUGCUGUCACUUAUAGAUGGAUCCGCGCCGCAUUAGCUAGUUGGUAAGGUAACGGCUUACCAAGGCAACGAUGCGUAGCCGACCUGAGAGGGUGAUCGGCCACACUGGAACUGAGACACGGUCCAGACUCCUACGGGAGGCAGCAGUAGGGAAUCUUCCGCAAUGGGCGAAAGCCUGACGGAGCAACGCCGCGUGAGUGAUGAAGGUCUUCGGAUCGUAAAACUCUGUUAUUAGGGUAGAACAAAUGUGUAAGUAACUAUGCACGUCUUGACGGUACCUAAUCAGAAAGCCACGGCUAACUACGUG